GGAAGUAAAAGUCGUAACAAGGUUUCCGUAGGUGAACCUGCGGAAGGAUCAUUAGUGGGUUGACACGUUCGCGUGUGAUUUUUUAACCUCUUUAUUGUCAUUUGACACCCCCAUUGUCCUUGCAUGUUUGAGUGUAUAAUGUAAAGUCAUAACUUUCAACAACGGAUCUCUUGGCUUUCGCAUCGAUGAAGAACGCAGCGAAUGUGCGAAACGUAAUGUGAAUUGCAGAAUUCAGUGAAUCAUCGAAUCUUUGAACGCAUCUUGCGCUCCUUGGCAUUCCGAGGAGCAUACCUGUUUGAGAGUCGUGUGUUAACUCAAACCCUGCCCUUGGUGGUGGGUUUGGAUUUGGAUGCCUGUGGUGACUUUUGUCACCGCUCGUCUUGAAAUGCAAUGCGUUGUCGCCCAAAUGGUGAUGGUGUUUUGAUAAAUGUUUGAGAAAUGCUUUGCCAGAAUGGGUGAUGAUGCCUCACGGCGCAUGCAUAUGCAUGUUGCCCCACAUAACCCUCCCGACCUCAAAUCAGGUAGGACUACCCGCUGAACUUAAGCAUAUCAAUAAGCGGAGGA
rnacentral:rRNA from 1 species